CCUACGGGGUGCAGCAGUGGGGAAUAUUGCACAAUGGGGGAAACCCUGAUGCAGCAACGCCGCGUGGAGGAUGACACAUUUCGGUGCGUAAACUCCUUUUAUAUAGGAAGAUAAUGACGGUACUAUAUGAAUAAGCACCGGCUAACUCCGUGCCAGCAGCCGCGGUAAUACGGAGGGUGCAAGCGUUACUCGGAAUCACUGGGCGUAAAGCGCGCGCAGGCGGCCUUUUAAGUUGGAUGUGAAAGCCUACGGCUUAACCGUAGAACUGCAUCCAAAACUAUUGGGCUAGAGUGUGGGAGAGGAAGAUGGAAUUAGUUGUGUAGGGGUAAAAUCCGUAGAGAUAACUAGGAAUACCAAAAGCGAAGGCAAUCUUCUGGAACACUACUGACGCUGAGGCGCGAAAGCGUGGGGAGCAAACAGGAUUAGAUACCCGAGUAGUC
rnacentral:rRNA from 1 species